GGGCUAUCAUGCAGUCGACGAACUCUGGUAUUGAUUGGUGCUUGCAUCAUGAUUUACAUUUGAGUGAGUGGCGAACUGGUGAGUAACACGUGGGAAACCUGCCCAGAAGCGGGGGAUAACACCUGGAAACAGAUGCUAAUACCGCAUAACAACUUGGACCGCAUGGUCCGAGUUUGAAAGAUGGCUUCGGCUAUCACUUUUGGAUGGUCCCGCGGCGUAUUAGCUAGAUGGUGGGGUAACGGCUCACCAUGGCAAUGAUACGUAGCCGACCUGAGAGGGUAAUCGGCCACAUUGGGACUGAGACACGGCCCAAACUCCUACGGGAGGCAGCAGUAGGGAAUCUUCCACAAUGGACGAAAGUCUGAUGGAGCAACGCCGCGUGGUGAAGAAGGGUUUCGGCUCGUAAAACUCUGUUGUUAAAGAAGAACAUAUCUGAGAGUAACUGUUCAGGUAUUGACGGUAUUUAACCAGAAAGCCACGGCUAACUACGUGCCAGCAGCCGCGGUAAUACGUAGGUGGCAAGCGUUGUCCGGAUUUAUUGGGCGUAAAGCGAGCGCAGGCGGUUUUUUAAGUCUGAUGUGAAAGCCUUCGGCUCAACCGAAGAAGUGCAUCGGAAACUGGGAAACUUGAGUGCAGAAGAGGACAGUGGAACUCCAUGUGUAGCGGUGAAAUGCGUAGAUAUAUGGAAGAACACCAGUGGCGAAGGCGGCUGUCUGGUCUGUAACUGACGCUGAGGCUCGAAAGUAUGGGUAGCAAACAGGAUUAGAUACCCUGGUAGUCCAUACCGUAAACGAUGAAUGCUAAGUGUUGGAGGGUUUCCGCCCUUCAGUGCUGCAGCUAACGCAUUAAGCAUUCCGCCUGGGGAGUACGGCCGCAAGGCUGAAACUCAAAGGAAUUGACGGGGGCCCGCACAAGCGGUGGAGCAUGUGGUUUAAUUCGAAGCUACGCGAAGAACCUUACCAGGUCUUGACAUACUAUGCAAAUCUAAGAGAUUAGACGUUCCCUUCGGGGACAUGGAUACAGGUGGUGCAUGGUUGUCGUCAGCUCGUGUCGUGAGAUGUUGGGUUAAGUCCCGCAACGAGCGCAACCCUUAUUAUCAGUUGCCAGCAUUAAGUUGGGCACUCUGGUGAGACUGCCGGUGACAAACCGGAGGAAGGUGGGGAUGACGUCAAAUCAUCAUGCCCCUUAUGACCUGGGCUACACACGUGCUACAAUGGAUGGUACAACGAGUUGCGAACUCGCGAGAGUAAGCUAAUCUCUUAAAGCCAUUCUCAGUUCGGAUUGUAGGCUGCAACUCGCCUACAUGAAGUCGGAAUCGCUAGUAAUCGCGGAUCAGCAUGCCGCGGUGAAUACGUUCCCGGGCCUUGUACACACCGCCCGUCACACCAUGAGAGUUUGUAACACCCAAAGUCGGUGGGGUAACCUUUUAGGAAACCAGCCGCCUAAG
rnacentral:rRNA from 1 species